rnacentral:rRNA from 1 species
GACGUAGGGCGCGAGCGUUGUCCGGAUUUAUUGGGCGUAAAGAGCUCGUAGGCGGCUUGUCGCGUCGUCCGUGAAAACCCACAGCUCAACUGUGGGCUUGCGGUCGAUACGGGCAGGCUAGAGUUCGGUAGGGGAGACUGGAAUUCCAGGUGUAGCGGUGAAAUGCGUAGAUAUCUGGAGGAAUACCGGUGGCGAAGGCGGCAUCCUGGACCGACAUUGACGCUGAUGAGCGAAAGCUAGGGGAGCAAACGGG